rnacentral:ncRNA from 2 species
GAGUAGAUACACGGGAGUCCCGAGGUACGUGGGGCUGAGAGUGGACACGCCCGUCCUUACCGUCAAUACCUGAACCGGAUCAUGCCGGCGCAGGGAGUGAGGUGGUGAGAAAU